GACGAACGCUGGCGGCGUGCCUAAUACAUGCAAGUAGAACGCACAGUUUAUACCGUAGCUUGCUACACCAUAGACUGUGAGUUGCGAACGGGUGAGUAACGCGUAGGUAACCUGCCUGGUAGCGGGGGAUAACUAUUGGAAACGAUAGCUAAUACCGCAUAAUAUUAAUUAUUGCAUGAUAAUUAAUUGAAAGGUGCAAUUGCACCACUCCCAGAUGGACCUGCGUUGUAUUAGCUAGUAGGUGAGGUAACGGCUCACCUAGGCGACGAUACAUAGCCGACCGGAGAGGGUGGUCGGCCACACUGGGACUGAGACACGGCCCAGACUCCUACGGGAGGCAGCAGUAGUGAAUCGUCGGCAAUGGACGAAAGUCUGACCGAGCAACGCCACGGGAGUGAAGAAGGUUGUCGGAUCGUAAAGCUCUGUUGUAAGGGAAGAACGGGUGUGAGGGUGGAAAGUUCACACUGUGACGGUAUCUUACCAGAAAGAGACGGCUAACUACGUG
rnacentral:rRNA from 1 species